UCGUGCUAACCAGCAGCCUGCCCUCUGGCCUCCAUCUCCCGCAGGCCCGUCUCUCAGCACUGCCCCGCUCCUCUGAUUCAGGGUCAGACUUCUGGGUGGGGGUCCGGUCCUCCACGUGGUGUUAACUGGGUUCGUGAAGCGUGCCGACGCCCCCCAGCCAGCUGAACCAGGAAGUCGGUCAGUGUUUAGAUUUAAUCGGUCGGCUGAGUGCUGUGUAGGAUACAGUUAUGGUUUUUUUUUAAAGGCUCUGAAUCAGUGCUAUAGUGUUUAACAUGCUGUACGACAGAUGGAACCCAGCAUGCAGGCAGGAUUUGUGGGGCGGCAUGUUGAGGUGAUACUGCAGCGUUGCACCCGAGCAACGACGUCCACUCCUCCUCCUACUACUGCUGGCAAACACAGCUGUAUGAGGGCUGCACUGUUCCCCACGCUGGCUGCUGUUGUGUUUGGCAGGGACCCCCCUAAACUCUGGCAGACCCUGCUGAGGAUGAAAAGAUCUGAGGACUGGAAGAGCUGGAUUUUAUUAACCCCCCCCCCCCACGCCUCCUCCGUUUGUGUCUUUUCAUGAAAAAGUGCGGUUCCCAUGUGCGGGUCAGGUGAGGGGCUCAACUUGGGUGACCCCUCCUUCUCCUUUGCUUUUAGUGUCUGGGUGUGGUGACACAAAGCGUGUCCCGUAAUGGUCGACCCAGUAAGAGAUCUCAAACUAUGCAUUUGUAGGGGGCCCCCUGUUGGCCACAAACAGUCACUACACUAGCGAGGGCGGGAGUGACUUUUUGAGUGUAUUUCCCGAAAAAUAACAGACCUGCUCCUGCCUGUGAUCAGCUGGACUCCCACUUAGUAACACUGGCUCACUGACCAUGUGAGCGGGCUGCCUUUCGGCUUUACAGACAGCGAGGGCCAGUAUAGGACUGACUUAUAGUCGUUGAAAGGUCUUAUCUGAAGGGAGGAGAUUCUCUCUCUUUUUUUAAACUUGCCACUGUUUUUCUUUCAGUCUGGUUGAUGCUUUAGGAGGAUCAUUGCUCUUUGUGCCAGAAGUCCAGGAAUUUCCUUGGGGUACGAAAGUGAGGCCCAUUUCCGCAGUAAGAGAAAAGGUUGCCGAUUGCAAUUUACCUUGUUUUGAAGGCAGCCAGUCCCAAGCGAGCUUUUUAAAAUAUGAAAAAUGCCCAUAGCGUUUCCUUUUGCCAUUUCUCUGGCUCUUUGGAUCUGAGGGGUGACUUAGAGGCCUCCCUCCACGUUUUCUAUUCAAGGAGCCGAGCUCCAAAGGAAAUCCGUUGGAAUCCGUACCGGUGGACGAGCUCCCUGCGUCAGCACUCGCCAGCACGCUCUUUCAGCCCGACGGUAGAGCGAAAGGUGCCCGGACAGGCAGCCAAAUGAUGUUCUUGUAAGAUGAAAUAAGAUGAACUUGUUGAUGCCAGGAGGAAAUUCUGCUGCAUACGGUGGCGAGGAACAUGAAGUGCGGACAAAUAAACACGGUACAAAAGAAAGAUGCAGUGCAAAGAUGCAGUGCAAAGAUGCAGUGCAAAGAAGAUGUGAAGACGUCCACAAUACUCAACUAGAGCAUCCUAAAUGGCACAAGGCCUUUACUAUAGCAAAGGAGGAAACUUUCUAAGCUGACUAAUGACAUUAAGACUGAAAAGGCUGCAGUGUCGUUUCCUUGGGGCUGCGUUCUAAGCAGGGUGCCGGUUUGCUCUCCCUGGCCGAGGUUUGACAACUGGCAGCCUGGUGCGGGAGACGUAUGUCACCCGUCAUGUGACCUGUCAUGUGACACAAGCCAAGGCAGGUUUGUUGACCCGGGGUUCCACUCAAAAAGUUACUUCACUGUAAUGAGUGUUUGUGCCUAACAGGGGGCCCCCUAAGCCUUGGGCACCACGGAGAUGCCCGAGUGCUACACAGAAGCAUUAUUUCCUCAGAGUUGAAAUGUUUACACACACAAAUGUUUUCACUCACACAGAAACCGUGGCUGAAUCUCAAUACUAAGCCACUGUACUACAGGAGUACAGAGGACGGUAAAAAUCCCCAGAUGUUGAUCUUGCUCCACCCCAAAUAUCAAGGAUGCUUUGGGCACAUCUUUGCCAAAUCAGAACAAUCCCAUGAUUCACUGUGUGCUGUCGCGAUGGGGGAGGAAGAAAGCCCGACCCAUAAUGAUAUCAGAGUUACCUUAAUCAGAGUUACCUUGAUCAGAGUUACCUUGAUCAGAGUAACGUUUCCAUAGUUUCUGUCAGAUACUGUUUUCCAGCAGUUUUUCACUUUUUUGGCUCGUGAGACUGGAAUGUUUAACAUCUGCGUAUAGUGUUUGUGUAGAACUGCGAUAAAUAUGAAUAUUUUAAGUGUAAACUUUAUUUGUGAGAAAAGGACAAGUAAUCAUACCAGGAAUAAGUAGUCAUAGACUGGACAUUUUUGAUUAUGUGUCAUUUAUUAAAUAUGUUAAAAAUUA